rnacentral:rRNA from 1 species
UACAGAGGGUGCGAGCGUUAAUCGGAAUUACUGGGCGUAAAGCGCGCGUAGACGGUUUUGUAAGUCAGAUGUGAAAUCCCCGGGCUCAACCAGGGAACUGCAUUUGAGACUGCAUGGCUAGAGUAUGGAAGAGGGAAGUGGAAUUUCCGGUGUAGCGGUGAAAUGCGUAGAUAUCGGAAGGAACACCUGUGGCGAAAGCGGCUCACUGGACCAUAACUGACGCUGAUGCACGAAAGCUAGGGGAGCAAACAGG